CAGGAAGGGGAAAGUGUGGCCGUGCUUUAUUUAAUCUACCACCACAGACAAGAAGCUGAGGAACGAGGUGUUAGACUUACUGCUGAGCUAAUGGAAAAAGUAAGAAGAAUAAAAGGAUCCAGGCAAGAGAGAAGGAGGGCAUCACAGAGUGGUUAAAAGGCGGUACAAAUAGCAAUCGGGAAGCCUAGAAGACCCGUAGGCGAGACAGAAUCGUGGAGGAAGCAGAGGGCACGUAUCAGCAUCCACGGAGUUAUGGGAGACUUGUAGCUGAAGGCCUACCAAGAUAAGUAGAGCAUUUGUGUCUCUGGGUUUCUGAGUUAAUGAUGCCAGCAGUCUCUGAACUAGCCAAAUUGUGGUGGAUUUAUUAUUUACAUUACAACUCCAUUUAAAAAUGAAAACAUAUGCCCACAUGUUCAGUGCUUCACAAAUACACGCUGUAGAAUUUUAUAUCCAGUAACAGAUGCAAUUUCCCUAUCAAAUAUAAUUUCUGUUUGUCUUCUGAACUCUGUAUUGUUGUGGAAAUUCCAGUUUAUCAGCUGCACUGGAGCCGAAUGAAGUGAGUAGUCCAAGACAUGAGCAGAUUUCUGCUGUGCACCUAGUAUUCCUUUCCCUUCCUAUUUAAUGCUAAUAUUGCUUUAUGCUAAAGAUGCAUUUUUUAAUGCUAUACAACUUGAUUCGUGGGGAAAAAGCAACACAAAUAAUUAAAGUUCUCUUUUGGGAACGUGAGUGGGCAGAGAGAAGUCAAGCGAGGGAAUCUUUUUGGUGGAACUUGUUUCACUUUCUUCUCCAGCCUGGUUGACAUUAUAGUGCUGAGAACAAUUGGGAGUUACUGAAGGCCCAGUUUAUCUUGCCGAUUUCUGUAGACUAUGUGUGACUUUGUUCCAAGUGACCCGUAAGAGCAAUGGCACCUGACGGAGCAACUGUGUAAAGCUGGGAGCAAGCCCAUUUUCAGGAGCAAUUUAGAGACUUCUUUUGACAUUUUCCCCCUUUUCUUUUUAAAAUUUAUUGCAGUCUGACAACAGCAAGUACCCAAAUCCUGUUAGGAAAUAAUGCAAUUUCUGAGCUUGGGUUCUGCUCUAACAAAGUUACAGGGUAGAUGUCACCAGCGUGGAGGGGAAGUUAAUCGUGGCAGGCUUGGAAAAAGAUUCAGUGCUGAAGUCUGGUUGUUCCCAUUUUCUCUUAAAGUGGUCUGCAAGUCUCCUCUCCCUUUUCUCAUUUUAAUUUGUUGUCUCAGGUUUGCUAGGCUGUGGAUUCUGGACAAGAGAACAGGAUCUGCUAGAAAAGCAAGGGAAAUACGGUGGAGGUGCUUGGGGCAGUGCUGAUGCUCAGGCAAACGCUCCUACAGCAGAGUGAGCGCACAGGUCCUCCUGUGCCUGGAUCCUUGGUCCAAGUCUCCUCACGCGGCUCAACUUUACGUCUGUGUCAGAAGAACGUCAAGACCAAUUGCCACUUCUUUUUUUUCUCAGAGUCCUCACCCAACAUAAG
rnacentral:lncRNA from 1 species